rnacentral:rRNA from 1 species
GAACCUGCGGAAGGAUCAUUAGCGAAUGAACUUGGUCAAGCUGUUGCUGGUCCUUAGGGACAUGUGCACGCUAGACUCUUGUUUCUAACCACCUGUGCACCUUUUGUAGACUUAGAGUUUUUAAAGGGGAUUUGCGCUAGCUUUUCCUGUAGGCUCUGGUCUAUGUUUUUAUAUACCCUUCUAAAAUGUAAAGAAUGUGUAUUGGGCUUUUUGCAAGCCUAUAAAAAUAUAUACAACUUUCAACAACGGAUCUCUUGGCUCUCGCAUCGAUGAAGAACGCAGCGAAAUGCGAUAAGUAAUGUGAAUUGCAGAAUUCAGUGAAUCAUCGAAUCUUUGAACGCACCUUGCGCUCCUUGGUAUUCCGAGGAGCAUGCCUGUUUGAGUGUCAUGAAAUUCUCAAACCUUUCAUUAUUUUUUUAAUGAGAGAGUUUGGAUGUGGAAGUUUGCGGGUCUCUAGAAAUGGAGGUCGGCUCUUCUCAAAUGCAUUAGCAAGGACCUUAUCCUUUUGUUGGCCUUGGUGUGAUAAUUAUCUAUGCCAUUGGCUUUAGGAUGUGGGUUUGGCUUUCUAAUGAGUCUCCUUCGGGGGACAAUAUUCUGAUACCUUUGACCUCAAAUCAGGUAGGACUACCCGCUGAACUUAA